GUUGGCAGCUGCACAUUACCGGAGGUUGUGUACCAGAGCUAACGGGAGAAUAGUCAAAACAAUAGCCGUGGAUGCAGAGUCUACGUUCCUGUUAUGGACUGUUUUACCCUGUGAUGAUGGACCGAGAGGAAUUCUCUGGACCGUUUUGCUGUGGAUAGGAUUUCCGUGUUUUUGUCCCAGUGUACUCAGCAGCCCGGGUACGCCGCUAAUUCCAACCACGUUGCCGAGUGGAGGACGCAUGGUCACCAACCGAGCCUGCCCCUCAGCUUGCCCUCGCACUUAGCCAAAGGAUUUCUGGCUGACGGACACACAAAAGCGCAAGCAAGAGUGGCCACAGACCCACUAUGCCGGCCUUUGUACACUCUCUCCAUCUAAUGAUAGAGAGGAAGGAUGCAUUCACUACUUCUAGCCUCCACUAUUCAAAUUCAUUAUUUUCAGGGUGUCCUAAAAGCUUCCUGAAAAGAAUUACGCUUGUUCCAAAACGCUGCAUC